GUCUCUUGUUCUCACACUCUUUUUGAACUUAAGUAAUUUCUUUGGAUUUAUUCUUUUUCUUUUCUUUUUGAAAAGCUUUAGGAGGAAAAGUUAUAGUGCUAGAUGGUUUUACUCUUUUUAUUAAUUGCAGUAAUUCAUAUAUAAACAUCAGUCUUGACACUAUCUCAUAUGUCUUUUAAAAGAAAAUCAGGCCCAGUGUGGUGGCUGUCGUCUGUAAUCCCAGCACUUUGGGAGGCCUGGGUGGGAGGAUGGCUUCAGCUUGGAAGAUUUUGGUAACAAAAUGAGACCGUGUCUCUACAAAAAAAAAAAAAACAAUAAAAAAAUUAGUGGGGCAUGGUGCCACGGGCCUGUAGUCCCAGCUGCUCGGGAGGCUGAAGUGGGAGGAAUGCCUGGGCCUGGGAGGACAAGGCUGCAGUGAGCUGAGAUUGCACCACUACACCCCAACCUUGGUGACAGAACAAGACCCUGUCUCCAAAAAAGGUGCAUAUCUGUCCAUAAAGUCUCUUUUAUGUGCAUUUUCUAACAAUUUCAUUUUCUUCACUCAGACGUUCUUAACCAAAGUUAAUGAUGGCUGCAUAAACAAGUCUCAUUCAAAUACAGAUAUUCAUGUAGUUCAUGUCCAAAUGUCAGGUAAAAGAGCAGCAUAUUAUAGCAACCCCAUCUUUAUUAAAAAGGAGUAUCUUCUGCAACAUUGUAUAACUUAAUGUAUCUGAUUUGGACUGUGUCCCCCCAGCCCCCAAAUUCAUAUGUUGAAACCCUGACCCUCCAUGUGAUGAUAUCAGGAGGUAAGGCCUUUGGGAGGUGAUUAGGUCAUGAGGUUGGAGCCCAUGUGACUGGGAAAUAGUAUGAUUAUAUAAGGGGCAUAAGCGCUUGCUUCCUGCCUCUGUUCUCCACUGUGUGAGGAUACAGCAAGAAGAGAGCUGACUGCAAACUAGGAAGUGGGCCCUCACCACACGCUGGAUUUGCUGGUGCCUUGAUCCACAACUGGGGGGAUGAAAUUUCGUUCCUGUUGCCCAGGCUGGAGUACAAUGGUGGGAUCUCAGCUCACUGCAACCUGUGCCUCCCAGUUUCAAGCAAAUCUUCUGCCUCAGCCUUCCAAGUAGCUGGGAUUACAGGCAUGAGCCAACAUGCCCGGCCUUCUGCAUCAUCUUUAAAGAAAGAAAAUUAUUUUUCUAUUUCUUUAAUAGAUAUAUGUUGAGUGCCUAUUAUGAGCCAAGGAUUGAAAGGGAUAUAAAUCAUUUUGAAAUUCUUGCCUGAGAGCCUAUAUUCCAAUGCAAGAGGGGAAAAAUAAAAAUUAAAGUUAAAUAUCUAAUAUUUUAUGUAGGGGUAUAUUCUAUAGAUAAAAUAAAUUAGGAAAAGUGGCAGAGAAUACUGAGAGUGUUGCAAUUUGAUUCAGGUUAGUCAGUGAAAAAUGACAGGACCCAAACUAACCCUCAUAUUUGGUGCUGGUAUAGUUAUGCUGCCAUUAUUGGGCAAAUUAAAUUAGCUCAGGGUCUCAUUAAGUGAGAGGUCUCCCUCCAAUGUAUUUUAUUUAUGUUUGGACUCUGUUUUGUACAAUACUUAAUUUAUUCCUAAGCAAUAAUUUGGCUUAGAUUAUUCAGCCUAAACAACACAAGAUUGUGAAUUUAUGUUUCUUCGUUCUAUUUUCCUUUCAGAGUAACUGUGAGCAGAGCUGCUGUAAAACACCAGAUGGAAAGGAAACAGUUCAACACCAUCUUUUCUUCAUCUGCAUUGCUGUGGCACUCAGCUUCUCACUGCACACAGGAACUUGGAAAUUCCAGGCUUCAGAUGUGGUCACAUGAAUCCUCUGCUGACUAUUACAGAUUUGCCUUCAAAUGAGCCACAGGAAUGUUUAUUUCUUAAUAAUCAACAGCAGCUUCUCUUGUAAUGUGUUUUAAUGUUUUUAGAUAUCGUCUAGUACCAUUGGUCCCAAAUUCCAGCCUUAACUGGCAGGCUGCUUUCCUUAUGGGAGUUUUCCAAUAACCAACGUUGUUUCUUACCCUUUCCAAGGACGAUGGGGAAAAGAAUCUUCUAGAGUCUUGAGAAAAGCAUGACAAUCCAGGAUUUAUUGACAUUGAAAAUACUUUUAUUGAUUUGGCCCAACUUCCCCAUCGUGCAACUUGUCACAUCAUGACACCAUCUGAAAUGAUAAACUUUGUAGAGAAUUGCCAUGGAAAGGUCUUCUCCAACCAACCUAAGCUUAGAGUCAAACUUAAGGCAAACUUUGGGAAAGAGGCCACUCCCACUCUGUGACAGAGGGUGAUACGGUUUGGCUCUAUGUCCCCACCCAAAUCUCAUCUUGUAGUUUCCAUAAUUCCCACAUGUUGGGGGAGGGACCUGGUGGGAGAUGAUUGAAUUAUGGGGGCGGAUCUUUCCCGUGCCGUUCUUGUGAUAGUGAAUGAGGCUCACGAAAUCUGCUGGUUUUAAAAACAGCUUGUGCCCUGCACAAGCUCUCUCUUUGCCUGCUGCCAUCCACUUAAGCUGUGGCUUGCUCCUCCUUGCCUUCUGCCAGGAUUGUGAGGCCUCCCUAGCCAUGUGGAAUUGUAAGUUUAAUAAACCUCAUUCUUUUGUAUAUUGUCCAGUCUCAGGUGUGUCUUUAUCAGCAGUGUGAAAACAGACUAAUACAGAGGGUGAUAAAAAUAUUACUCCUCUUUAAUAUUGCUCCCAAGGAAUUCCCUACGGUUAAAAAAUAUAUACUAAUGAGGACAAAACAUAUACUAAUGAGCAUCAUAAUAUAUGGUUAAGACUCAUCUGAUUCUCAAUGAUUUUGUUUCUGUGACUUAAAAAACAAAAAGGUACAAGGCCCAUGAAAUGAAUCACACCUCAGAGGAGGGAAGAGAAUGAAAGCUUGAUGAGGGAAGGGCUUUGUCUAAGUUGCUCACCUUAAAUAAUGUCAAACACUCAGGAGGUAUUCAAUAAAUGUUUGAUUAAUAAAUGAAAAACAGCAUGUCCUUGUUAAAUAGAUCGCAAGUCCGUAUCUUUAUAAAUUAAAGCAUUAUCCUUUCUAUGAAAAGAAAAUGGUUAUUGAAGAAAUUGAAUAAAAAGUGUAACUUGAAAAUGUUAGUGCACAAAGUAAAAUCACGUUCAAGUGUUUGGAAGGCAAGACAAAAGUCCACCUCAGAGAUAACUUCCAGACCCUAAGCAGGAGGCAUAUUUAAAUCCAAAGGUAUAUUUUUACCUCUGCUGUAUUGUUAUACUGUGCUCUUUUUUCCAUUUACUUGAUAACCAUCACACAUACAUGAACUUGAAUGUUUUUGACAUAGGAAAUGGAUUAAAUUUUUACUUUUUUAAGCAUCCUAAUUAUUUUUUUCUCUUAGAUAACAGUUGAAAAAAAUUUGUGAACAGGAUUUUAAAUCCCUGAUCAAAAGCUCUAUCAAAACUUCCCCCUAUUACCUUGAAAAAUAAAUCUGUUUUUAUUUAUAGUUCUAUACAAGGUUGGCUAUAAAAAGGAGACUUUCCAUUUGGAGAAAGCAGUAUUGUUGUGUACAUUCUACAUCCGGUACUGGUGAUUUUGGAAACACAUGGAAUGGGUGUUCAAUUGCCCUUCCUUUAUGUCUUAGGAUGUUUAUGAGACCCAUUCUUCUCCACUGUCACAUAAAGGAAGGGGCUGUGUUCUUGAAUGUCCACAGUUCCUGAUCUAAAGUGUUUGCACAUAAAGGAAAUAUAAUAAAUACCAGAUAGAAGUACUCUUUUUCUUUCUAUGCUGCAUAUAAUAGAACAUAUAUUUUUGACAAAUAUUUAUAUAAUUUAAGAACUUGAGAUGACCCUGAAAGUGCAGAAACAUUUUAGUUAAUAUAAUAAGGAUUCUUCACACCAGCAUACUGCUGAAGGAAAACUUGCUGUUCUCAAACAAAUGUAAGGAGAAUCACUGAACUGAUGAAGACUAAGUAAAAUUCCUCCUAAAAAUGAAUUUAUGGGGGUAGGUUGACUCAAUUUUUUAUCCGAACUUCAAACUGAGAAUUGUUAAUGUUCAUUUGUAAAAUUACAAUGUGAGAUUAUGAAUAUAAAAUAUAGGAUCUUAGCAUGUAACCCAUUGUUAUUAAAGUGUGUUUUACAAAUAUCGCAAUUAGAUGUAGACAUUAUGAAUUAGAUUUUUAUGUGUAUGUGUAUUAAAGUUUUUGCUAUUUAUACAUAUUACUUAUAAAAUAUAUGUGCCUUCUUAAGAAUAAGUCUUUUAAAAUGGUAAAUUAAUACUCAUUUUAGAUGGAUUUAUUGAAUUACACCUGUUGGCACUGUUUGUCUUAAUUUUGGGAUGUCUUAUGCUAUUGAAUUGUGUUAAAACUGUACUACAAUUAUAAAGGCAAUUCAAAUUGUAAAAUAGCACUUUAAAAAUAAAGCCUUUAAUAAAUAAAAUAAACUUUUAUGGAA